UUAAGUUCAGCGGGUAUCCCUACCUGAUCCGAGGUCAACCUGGGUGAUCCGCGAGGAUCGAUGUUUUUGGGGCCAGGGCCGGCCGGUUCUAGAAGCGGUGGUUAUCCCAUUCGCUCAGACGCCGGAAUCGCGGUCUAGCCACUGCAUUUCGGGCGCGUCCCGCCGAGAGGAGGGACGGUCACCCAUCACACAAGCCGGGC
rnacentral:misc_RNA from 1 species